AGGACGAACGCUGGCGGCGUGCCUAAUACAUGCAAGUCGAACGGUCUUUCUAUGGAAGCUUGCUUCCACUGGGAAGAUAGUGGCGAACGGGUGAGUAACACGUGGGUAACCUGCCCAUAAGAGGGGGGAUAACAUCCGGAAACGGGUGCUAAUACCGCAUAGUUUUCUUGAUCGCAUGAUUGAGAAAGGAAAGACGGCCUUUGUGCUGUCGCUUAUGGAUGGACCCGCGGCGUAUUAGUUAGUUGGUGAGGUAACGGCUCACCAAGACGAUGAUACGUAGCCGACCUGAGAGGGUGAUCGGCCACAUUGGGACUGAGACACGGCCCAAACUCCUACGGGAGGCAGCAGUAGGGAAUCUUCCACAAUGGACGAAAGUCUGACGGAGCAACGCCGCGUGAGUGAAGAAAGGUUUUCGGAUCGUAAAACUCUGUUGUCAGAGAAGAACAAGUUGGAGAGUAACUGCUCCAGCCUUGACGGUAUCUGACCAGAAAGCCACGGCUAACUACGUGCCAGCAGCGGC
rnacentral:rRNA from 1 species